rnacentral:rRNA from 1 species
AUACGGAGGGUGCAAGCGUUACUCGGAAUCACUGGGCGUAAAGCGCGCGCAGGCGGCUAUUUAAGUUGGAUGUGAAAGCCUAUGGCUCAACCAUAGAACUGCAUCCAAAACUAUUUAGCUAGAGUGUGGGAGAGGAAGAUGGAAUUAGUUGUGUAGGGGUAAAAUCCGUAGAGAUAACUAGGAAUACCAAAAGCGAAGGCAAUCUUCUGGAACAAUACUGACGCUGAGGCGCGAAAGCGUGGGGAGCAAACAGGAUUAGAAACCCUAGUAGUCC